ensembl:lncRNA RMST rhabdomyosarcoma 2 associated transcript
UCAAAAGAUUCUCAGGAUGAUGGAGUGAGUGAUGGAAUAGGUUGCCAACUGUAGUUACUCCACUCAGCACAGAAUGGCUGCGGGGAAAUAUAAUCAGACAUGCCCAAAGAAGUCUGCUUAGGGUGAAACAAAUACCUUUGAGGUUUAAAUCAGGAAGGAGAGACUGUUUCUACAGGUGUCAUACAAAAAUCAAUACUGAGCCAAGGAUUAUUGGAUCCCAUAGAACCACGGAGACUUGGUAGUGAAAUUCUUCCAAAGGCAGAUGGUGUUCCUAGGUUUGGAAAUAUAAAUCCCAUGGGAAGUCAGCUGAAGACCAUUUUAUGCAUCACUCAUCCUGUUAGAGCCCUGUGCUGUUCUGUCUCUCUAUAAGACUGGCUGAAACCACCACGGUUGUUUACAAUUUAUGCUCUAACUUUGGAUCACCUAGUUAAUACUCUAACUCCGAUUAUUACCAAAGACAAUGUUCUAUAAAAGAUAUUGUCUAUUAGAAGGAUGCUUCUGCAUUAUUAAUAAAAUCACAGGGAAAAUGCAACAUUUUGGAUGUCACAUCUGAUAAGUUGGCAGUUAAAGAACAGAAACAGCAAUAAGACUGCGUGGCUACAUUUUCCCAGUGCCACCAACUGGGAUUUAAGCUGACUAACAUUUUGAAAGCCCAGCCCAUUUCAUUCACAGCAGGAUGGCAGUGGGUGACUGAUCGUACCCGCCAGCUGGCUAAUGUCAUAAUUAACAAAGUUGCUACUACAUCUGCAAAGUUUAAUCGAAAAAUUUGCCAGUGAUAUGAUGGCCUUGUCACAGAGAUCACAAGGGACACGGAGUUGACUUUUGCUCAAGGUGGAACGACAGAGCUGUGUAGGCAAGAUGAGAAAUUGCGAACUUGUUCGGCCAAAGGAGGCUAAUAAUGAAGGGGCCGGGAAGGAGGCCAGUGCUACCAGGGUUAUCUCACAACCUCAGAUGCUGGAUAAGUCGACGGAGGCAGAAUCGCUUUGGGAUGACAUUCAGAAAGCCUGGAGUGAUUACUUGCAAGAGAAAAGCCUACCUAUUCUUUCCAAGGUGCAGGAAUAUUCCCCUGACCUGCUCAUCCAGUGGUCCAGUAAUGAAUUACUGGAGACCUGCCUUAGACAAAGAAUGCACUCGGAGCCCCAACACACCUAAAGCCAUGCUUUGAAGGAUCUGCCAAGCUCACUUUUAAUCAUGAGAAAGAAAUUACCCACACGGAGUCAGCAGAAAAUGAGAAAGUAGAGCUCGUGCUGUGAAUAAUUCCAGCAAGUGCCAAGGGGCUAGUUGAGGAAUGGCUUCAUGAGAUGUUAGUCUAAAACAGCACCUUGGAUCUAAGCAGCACCUUUGAGAAAGAAAAGACUGCUUCAAGAAUGUCUAGUUGCACCUCCUUUCCGUAUGUGGCCUAAAUGCCUAGGUUGGAUCAAUAGUUUAAUUUUUUUAUUGAACUGUUUAAUAUUGACUAUGGACUUACAUUCACUUUUACUGUUUUCUGUAUAUUUACUUUUGCUUGAAGUGUUUUAAUAUUGACUAUUUACCUCUGCUCAUUUUUAUUGAUUUUCUGUAUUUUUUCAAUGAAAAUUAUAAUAAAAA